CCUAUUAAAUGAUAACACAAAUGAUUUGGGGGCUGCUUAGUAGCCAACAGUGCCCGGCCCAAUGCACAGCUCUUUGAGGCAAAUCCUCUGCUAACUAGCGCACUUCUGGACUGGCUCCUUAGUGCUCAGCUGAUGGAACAAUACCUCAAAUGUCAGCACCGUUGAGAAUGGGACUUUAGAAAGAAAAAAUCACCCAGAACGUUCCAAGGAAAAUUAACCUUGAAAACUUUGAAGAAUUCGUGUCUGCUCAUUACUUUCCUCCUAAUGCAGAUAAUUUAGAGCUGUCCAGCGAGAGCCCUAAUUGCAGAAAUUACAGAAAAGCAGAGACGGGUGAGCUAGCCGUGUGCCAAGCAGGUGUGGCUGCACCCGCAGCUGGGUGGCAGAAGGAAAAGGGCUCAGGACUGGAAGCCCAGGGCCCCGAGUCCUCGUUCUAACUCACUGUGACCCAACUUGGCUCUCUAGGCACAAAUUUCCUUACCAGGGAAACAGAACUAAUCUUUACUUUUCCUUCCAGCUUGCAAAUUCUAUGAAUAUGAGUUUGAAGGGAUACCAUUAUGUUGACAAAUAAAGCUGAUUUUUGGAUUAACCAUUGUUAGGAAUCCUUUCCAGGAUUCCUGGAGAGGAAAAAAAAAAUUACAAAGAACCGACUGCAUGAAAGGGCCAUACAUAAUCAUCUUAUUGUUAGCAGACCUGAAACAGUCCAGUCAGCCAGAUAAAACAAUGUCUAAUUUAAAACUGAAGCAAGGUAUGUGGCUUGUGGAAUGGGGGCCACUGAGCCGGCGUUAUGGUGUUGCUUCAGAUUGAGCUGAAAUUAUAGAAUGAAAGGAAAUUUGCCUGGGGACCAGAUAAAUGUCGGCACUGUAUGAUGACUAGUGAGACAAUGGAACAUGAAACUGGGUGUAAAUUUCAUCAACCUGCUCAACCUUGGCUUCAUAAUGAACCACUUUUUCUUCUCAUGCUCCCUCUGCUCCCCACUCCCACCAGACCCACAUGCUCCCUGUAGCUCUCUAUUCAGACUGUCCUUGCUCUCUGGGGUGGACUAGUUGCUCUACCGAAAGCAUCCCUCUGGGCUAUUGUAGAGACUCCCCCCACCCUCUCUCUAAAUUUGUUUGGCACUUAUUGGGCACGUGCUAUGUGCCAGGACUGGUGGACACUGGGGAUACAUGGAAGAAUAAGGUAUGGUCCCUGCCCUAGGGACCUGCCUAGGGACCCAAGGAAGACAGAUCAAACAAAUGUAACCUCUUGGCUAUGACCUUGGAAGGGCAGGAAGGUCCAGUCGAUUAGCGGAAAGAAAGAAAUUCUUAUUAGGCAUCAGGCAUACAUACAAAGAGGCCAGAGGAGGCAGCAAAAUAGUUCUUUAAUUGCCCCUGAGUACCUUAUCUAUUACAUAAGCUACUUUAUCUAGAAUCUAUCUCGAAUGAACAUCUUCCUCUCAUCCCGUCAACGGGGUGGACUGGGUGAGACUGAUCAUUUCAGCCGGUUGUCCUCAUGAUGGAGAAGGGGGUGUUUUUAUGUGUUGGGGGAGGGUGGAAGUGCUUUUUAGGUCUUUCAGAUCCUGCUUACAAAAGGAUGGCUGAAGGAAGAGGGCCCCCCAGAUCUAGCCUUAGAGGGAGACCCCUACAGAUACAAGGUGUGCUCUUGCUAAUAAUGACUGUCCCCUGCAGCAUAUUAUACCAUGAGGGCUGCUUUUCUCCAUCUUGCCAACGACCCUAGUAUAUUUUCUUAGCUUCUGGUCAAGACCUCAGAGUGGUGGACACUUGGAUUGCUUUCACCUUUUGCUGCUAUGGACAUGGGUGUGCAAAUAUCUCUUCAAGAUCCUGCUUUCAGUUCUCUUGAAUAUGUACCCAGAAGUGGUAUUGCUGGAUUUUAUGAGAGACGGACUCCAUGCAGUUCUGAAGCCUGCCUCGCCUGGAAGCCAGGAUGCUUCUGGGGGCCCCAGACUGGAAAGAGAAGCACAUCUGAGUGGGCUGGCGGGAUUCCGACCUUGGAGGCGUGAAUUCUAGCAGCACCAGGAUUCACACGCUCUGAAGGGAACUGGGAAAUAAAGUCGCCUGCUCUGCUUUAUCGGAGGUGAUCAUCUAAGGCCGCUCCUCUGGCACAAGGAAGGCUUGAGCUCCGCAGUGGAGUUAAUGGGGCAGGAAGGAGAGGUUGCCUCUUGGAUGGGGUGCGUGGACAUCGGUUUCCACUGUAAACAAUCUUUGUGCCCCCAGGGUAAGAAGACCAUUCAUAGGCUUUAGAUUGGAAUGAUUGGGGCAGCAUCAAGUUGGAAGUUGGUUUUGAGAUACAGCAACGCCAUGGCUUAGUAGAGAAUUAGUCUUCUCGGCUUCCUCCAGUCACAGGAGGGUGGCUUCCCCUUUCUGUACUAAGUGGAUUGUGAAAACGUCCCCAGAGAUUUUAUAGCAGUGGACAAGGGGAGGCCCGUUCCUCUAAAAUGAAUGCUUCCAUUGCUUUGGAUGUGAAGAGAGCGAGGAGGUUUUCUUUUGACACAAACCCCAGCCGUCUUGCCUAAGACCCUUCCCACAUUUCCUGACCACUCCUAAUGGGGGGCUGCAGUUUGGCAGCGGGAAACUGGGUGUUGGACAUGGCUGGAUUUGGAGGACCUUACUUCCUACUUCACAGAUAAGAGGGUCUACUUAAUGAAACCAACCCAAACUUGUCUCUCCUGUCAGUGAUAUGCUGCCCCUUGCAUCUUUCCAAGCUAUCUUCAGUUUGAAUUAAUUAACAUUCUUGCAUUCAGUAUCUAUUUAUUGAGCUUCCUCCAGAAGCCCAGCCCUGAGGUCAGCUCCACGGACAGAGGAGUACAUGGCUGUGCUCCUGGAACUCAUGGUCCAGGAGGCAGGCAGGUAGUAAUCAAAUAAUCAGUACAAGAAGUGUAUGCCACAAACUCUAACAAAUGCUAUGGAGGAAAUCUAAUCAUCCCUUUUAAGAUCCAGUCUUGGCACAUUAACAUCUGUGAAUACCUACGCCACAUAGCUCUUUGACCAACAUCUGUCUAGAAACACGGUCCACAAACCAAACCAAACUCCUCCCCACUCUGUCUCUCCCCCUGCUCCAAAAUCCCAGCUCUCUGAAAUAAAUGAACAAUCCCUAUUGUUGUGACAGAAGAAAGACAGUUAUUGACAAGGUUUUCACCCACAUCUCUGCCAGUUCUUCCCCUCCCCUCCCCCGCAACACCCACCCCGUCUUCUUGUAGGAUAGUUAUUUUGGUUUCCAAGGGCAGAUAAAGGUAGAGAGGCUCUUUUUUACUUCUCAGCAUUAGCUGCUGUUAUUGUUUCUGUUUCAGUGACCUCUUUUGCUUCCUGCUGUGUCAAUUACCACAGGCUGCUCUUAAAGAGCAAAGACCCCCGUUGUUCUCUAGCAGGGAGGGGGCAUUUGUAAACAGAGUUCAGGAAUGUCAAAAGGGUGACCCAGAUUUCCAGCACUGGAGGAAAAACUAGUUCGUUGUGCGUAUCCCAUGUAAUGAAACGUAGCCUAUUCUUGACGCGGGAACAGGUGUGCAGAAAGGUUAAUUUCACGGAAAUACAUUUCAUUACUGAGAGGGACUCACUGCUUAAGGACCUCAAGGCCAAGUGAGUAUAUUUGUCCCAAGUCCUCAAAUUGCAAGCAGUUUCUUUAAUGCCUAUCUACUCAUUUCCAACCAAGGAAAGGACUGCAUUAGUUUUUCUUCAGAUUAGAAAUGAACUCUACAAGAGGACCAAAGGUAUCCAAAUAUAAAUAGGUCUGAGUUGUUUCUGUAAUCUUUCUUCAAAGCUUUGGUGCUUAUCCAAAUUUGCUUCGAUCUCUUCUGAAGACUUGUGGGUAAUAUACAAAGACUCUGUGGGAAAGGUAAAUGGAACAUAGACUUCCAGAGCCAGAAGUGAAAUUAGAGAUCUCUAGUCCUACCCUUCAUUUUACAGAUGGGGAAAUGGAGGCAGGAAGAGGUCACAUGAUUUGCAUAACAGGAAGUGGCAGAGAAGACACUAAGACCCAGUUCCUUGACUCUCAGGUGCUCUCUUGCACUGUCCAUCAUGAAGACACCAUUUGUAGUAAUUGGAAGAGAGUGGGCUCCCCAGGAGCUUGAACUGUUAGCACCCGGGCAUCCCUCAUCCAGAACCCUGGUGCUGUGACUUCCCUGUUGCCAUCUGCUGGAGGUAUUGGGUUGUUUUGGCCUACUCUUCUCCCCUUCUUCUCCAAACUGCACCCUUUCCUUUGGGGAACCAGUCCAUGUGGUUCUGGUGGGGCUUAAAGUCGCAGUGCUCCCACUGGGUGGGUACACUACCUGGGCUGGCCAAUUGUGGUACCCCGGUUCCCUGGGCAGGACUUGAUCAGGUAGUGGGCACGAGACCCAGAGAGAGGCAACUGGCAUUGUCUUUGUGAGCGGUCUGGAGUUUGUGAGAGGUUUCCUCUUCCCUUUGUACAUCGCAAGGCUGCCCGGGGCUAUCUUUCCCACCACUAAGGAGAACCUGCCUGAAAAGAAGACAACACACAUUGCUCAAUAAAUUUACCCAUUUAUUUACACAUUCCUCUUUUGUGGGAAAUGCUAGUCUCUGCAGGCUAGGAGGAGGAAAAUAAACAAAAUCAGAAACCAAAACCCAGGUUUUUGUUGUACUAGCAGUUAUCCUUACUUUGGGAAAAAUGUGGUUUUGUGAAAAAAAGAUGUGCUGACUAGGCAGAGACCUGGGUUUGAAUCCAGAUCCCUCUGCUUACCAGCUGCACCAGAUCCCUGAC
rnacentral:lncRNA from 1 species